AACGAACGCUGGCGGCAUGCCUAACACAUGCAAGUCGAACGAGACCUUCGGGUCUAGUGGCGCACGGGUGCGUAACGCGUGGGAACCUGCCCUUAGGUUCGGAAUAACUCCCCGAAAGGGGUGCUAAUACCGGAUAAUGUCUUCGGACCAAAGAUUAUCGGCUUUGGAUGGGCCCGCGUUGGAUUAGCUAGUUGGUAGGGUAAAAGCCUACCAAGGCGACGAUCCAUAGCUGGUCUGAGAGGAUGAUCAGCCACACUGGGACUGAGACACGGCCCAGACUCCUACGGGAGGCAGCAGUGGGGAAUAUUGGACAAUGGGCGAAAGCCUGAUCCAGCAAUGCCGCGUGAGUGAUGAAGGCCUUAGGGUUGUAAAGCUCUUUUACCCGGGAUGAUAAUGACAGUACCGGGAGAAUAAGCUCCGGCUAACUCCGUG
rnacentral:rRNA from 1 species